UCCUUGGUAGUACGGUGGUUAGUACCCGCGUCUGUCACAUUUGAGACCCGGGUUCAAUUCCAUGCCGGGGAG